CACCUCACCUCACGUGCCGCGCGCAAGAAAUCCGGUAGCGAAGAAGAGAAGGAGAAUUUGCUAACAAAUAUGCCGGAGGAACACAAACGAAAACGAAUCGACAACAUGAAUGUGGUAGAUCAUCUAUUGGAGCACAGAUUUGAGACCCUUAGUCUGGAGGAAAAAUUAGAGUGCCUGCCUGCUGUCCUGGCAGGUGCUUGUGGGUGGAGGGAGGGCUGAAUAGAGAAUGGGAAACACCAAGACAGGGCUACAAACAGCAUGGUGGGACACUGACUAAGAUAGCCGGGAGCAGGCGGAGUCAACGUCUACAAAGAACGCCACGACUGAAAAUAAACGGGUGACGUCACGAACACUGGUUCAUCAUUUAAAAGAAUAAAAAAUGUUAGCCUAGCCCCACCUGUUUUUUACAUGUAGAAACGCCACUGCCUAUUCAAGACCCAUCCAAAUGAAAUUUUAAAACCCACACCUAUUUAAAAUGAAGUCAUUGGCAUGAGAUGUACGGCUAACCAAUGGCAUGGAGGCACUGGGCGUGUCGGAUAAUCAUAAUUAAAUUCCAAUAACACCCCUUCCCCCCCAAAUCCAGAAUUUGCAACAGAAGUCGUCAAACUAUUAUAUGAACAACCCAAUUAAAACUCAAACUAUAGUACAUUUCAGGAAAUUACAACUUAACUGUAGUCAUGGCUUGAUAAGGACUUAAACAUAUAGUGGGGAGUGUCAGAGCCUAACCAAAUACCUAAUCAUAAUUGUUGCCCCAUACCCCAGAAGCUCCUGUUGAUAUUUACAAUGAUCUGAUAUAGAAAUAAUUAUCAUUAAUAAUCACAGGGCUCAGGAUUUGUAGUCAGUGCGCCCAAAUAUUGAAAUGGUUAAACCUGCACUAAGUAACUUUUCCACUAUAGCUAAUAACUCUCUUAAACAAGAAUCUACAAUUUCAGAACUAGAAAGUUCUCAAGAAUAAUACGCCGAUCUACAUGUCGAUCCAUACAGUGAGUUAAUAAUAAUAAUAAUAAUAAUAAUAAUACAUUUUAUUUAUAAUGCACUUUAUAUUCAAGAAUCUCAAAGUGCUUCAGAGAAAAAAAUACCAAAAAACUAUUAAAAAGGGGGAACCUCAAAGAAAGUUUAGC
ensembl:lncRNA